GGCAGAAACCAAAUACUCCGAGGUACAAACGUGGGAGAGGCCACAUCUAACUGCGGGGAUCUGAGCACGGAAUGGAAUGCGGGCCACGAUCCCAGGUCCAGAAGUGAUGAAGCAAGACUCACGUUCUGGGAAGAGUGAGAACACGCAGUCCGAUCCGGCUGAAGCCAAAAUGGGAGCAGUGGAUCGGGGCUGUCCGUGGAACCACCACUCCAGUCUCUGGAACGUCCACAGUCAAGACCAGGAAGAUCAGUGCAGAGGACAAGCAGCAUUCCUGACAGUGGAGGUGGCUCUGCCCUGCACCUGCACAAAAAGAAGCCAUUUAUAACUCAGCGGCAGCUCCAUCAAGUCCAAGACCCAGCGCUCAGCCAUGCAAAUUCUCUUCCAAAGAGACUUCAUUAACAUGCAUCAUUGCCAAAAGAAGUCCAUAAAGUAGUGAAUAAAAGAAUACUGGGCACAUCCCUUCUG